rnacentral:rRNA from 1 species
GAUGAACGCUGGCGGCGUGCCUAAUACAUGCAAGUCGAACGCGAGAGGAGGGAGCUUGCUCCCUCUGAUCGAGUGGCGGACGGGUGAGUAACACGUAGGCAACCUGCCCAUCAGCCGGGGAUAACUGCGGGAAACCGUGGCUAAUACCGGAUAAUCCUCUCCACCGCGGGGUGGGGAGUUGAAAGACGGUUUCGGCUGUCGCUGAUGGAUGGGCCUGCGGCGCAUUAGCUGGUUGGCGGGGCAACGGCCCACCAAGGCAACGAUGCGUAGCCGAGCUGCGAGGGUGAUCGGCCACACUGGGACUGAGACACGGCCCAGACUCCAACGGGAGGCAGCAGUAGGGAAUCUUCCGCAAUGGACGCAAGUCUGACGGAGCAACGCCGCGUGAGUGAAGAAGGGUUUCGGCUCGUAAAACUCUGUUGUUAAGGAAGAACGCCAGGUAGAGUAACUGCUACCUGUGUGACGGUACUUAACCAGAAAGCCACGGCUAACUACGUGCCAGCAGCCGCAGUAA